rnacentral:lncRNA from 1 species
GAGGAAUUUGUGAGUUAAGCCAAAUCUUUUUUUAAAAUCGUAGUUGAUUUACAACGUUAUGUUAAUUUCUGCUGUGUUAAUUUCAGUUACACAUUUUUCUAUAUUUUCCAUUAUGGCUGAUCAUAGAACAUUGAAUAUAGUUCUCCACGCUGUAAGUAGAAUGUUGUUGUCUAAGGCCAAAUCUUCUUAAAGGUGAUUCUCUGUUGGCACAAUCGAUACUGACCAGAGACCACUGGUUAAGGUACUAGAAUUACACAGUCCAUCAUCCUUCUAGUAGAUCUUUAUGGGACACACCAUCCUUGUGCCCAGUGUUUUUGCACAUGGCAGCAUUUAGCUAUUUUACAGGGCACACACAUCCAAGCCUUCCACCUCCCUGCCUGUGUCCUUUCAUUUCCUCACCUGGCCUCUGUAAGGCCUGCUAUGUGCUGUCCCCACGCUCCACGGCUGGGACAUGUUAGUGAACAAAAUAGUCCCUCUUCUCACAGAGCUUACGUUCAGGCCUGGGCACCGCAUAUACACGGAGACAGGUAGCUAUUCUCUGUGGAAACGCUCUUCAUCUCUCAGGAGACCCACACGUGGAGGAAGCCAACCGAAUGUUCUUCACCUCCAUUAAGGGUACGGGGUGUGGGAGGAAGUGGGGGUGGACACUGGGGCCACUGUCAGAGGACGCAGCUGACAGUGUCCUCCUGAGCCCACGAGUGUCACGUAUGAGCCAGCUGACAGCAUGACUAACCACUUCUGCUCUACUGUUGACUUGGGGUCCCUGCAAAAAUGAGUUUUCUGCUAAGGGGAAGCGGGAGUCGGAUCUUUGUGGAAAUGGCCUCAAGAAUGAUGAUCAAGCCUGAGGCUAAGGAAUUUUCAAAUAAGGCACAAUAUUUAUGGGCAGUUUGGUGCACUGGCAGAGGUGGUCGGCGGCACAACCUCACAGGAGAACCCUAGAGCACUAGGUGUGUCUGUGUUACACCAAGAAUUUGUCUGAAAGUUGGACGCCACUACUGACUUUUUGUUCUGGGUAAUUUAGAAUUUAUAUGUCUGGACUAAGAUCAAAACUGGGGGUGCAACGAUUCUAAACGACAUCUGUUAAGUGUCCUUUGUAGCGGUUCCCUCUGCGUGAGGAUAAUGAAAUUUCGAGCGUCUUCCGCCAGGCUCACUAAAUUUAGAGAGGUAAUUGCUGUUUACUCUUUUUGAGGGGGGCAUUGUGGGAGGUGUGAAAAUGUGAAAACUGAGAUGAUAGAGUAGAAAAUAGGCAAGUUCUGCGGAGGGGGCCCAUCUUCCAAGAUGGCAGCUGAGUAUGAUGUUUAAGGUUGAUUGCAGGGGUAGUAAUUCUUCCCUUUUUUUUUUUUUUUUUUUUUUUUUGUCUUUUUAGCUAUUUCUUGGGCUGCUCCCGCGGCAUAUGGAGGUUCCCAGGCUAGGGGUCGAAUCGGAGCUGUAGCCACCGGCCUACGCCAGAGCCACAGCAACACGGGAUCCGAGCUGCGUCUGCAACCUACACCACAGCUCACGGCAACGCCGGAUCGUUAACCCACUGACAAGGCCAGGGACCGAACCCGCAACCUCAUGGUUCCUAGUCGGAUUCGUUAACCACUGCGCCAUGACGGGAACUCCCUUUCCCUUUCUUUAAAAACAUUCCUUUGUACAGAAUAGCUUGACCUUUGCAGCUAAGGCUAACUUCUGCUACACGUGGAUUCAGUAGAAAGCUGACUGGAGGGAGUCAUUUUGGCAGUUUGGAAACCUACACUUGUGUGGAAAAAGCGUUGAUUCCCUGCAGUAUUGGAAAAGUUCUGGGAGUUGAGAGAAAAGCUAGGACAGUUAGCAACACAUACGAAUCUGUUCGUUAUCCAGUUGUUUAAACACGGAAAAGUUGGCACUCUUUGAACCUGGAAGCACAUAUAGAAAUUUGGGGGGGGGCCACACCCACGGCAUGCGGAAGUUUCUAGGCCAGAGAUUGAAUCGUACCACUGCAGUAACCAGAGCUGCAGCAGCCAGGGAUCAAACGCGCAUCCUCAUGGAUACUAGUUGGGUUUGUUACCACUGAGCCACAAUGGGAACUCCUACUUCUUCUUAUCCAACUUAGAUGCCUGUUAUUUUUCUCUGGCCUAAUUGUUCUGGCUGGAGCUUCCAGUGCUGUGUUACAUAGGAGUUUUGAGAGUGGGUAUCCUUGUCUUAUUCCUGAUCUUAGUGGGGAAGUUUUCAACUUUUCGUGGUUGAGUGCAAUGUUAGCUGUGGAUUUGUCCCAGAGGUCUGUCGUCUUCUGUGCUUACAGACAUGCAAGCGUGCCUUCUCUCUCUCUCUCUCUCUCUCUCUCACACACACACACACACACACACACACACACACACAGAGUGGCAGGCUAACUAGCUAGCUGGCAAGUGAGAUAAAGCCACAGACCUUUCACAGUUUCCAGUGUAACACAGGGAUGGUGCGAGAAGGUGUGGAUGGUGUGUAACUUGCCCAGUGGUGCUCAGCCAAGCAGAACUGGCAGCAGUCAGGAGAAUGCUGGCCUCUAGGGCCAUCCACUCCCCAGGUGACUCCUCUGAGCUUCUCAAAUUUCGGUGCACUUGCGGAUCAUCUGGCAGAGGCUGGGGUCAGAGGUAGGGAGGCCAACCACCAUACUUUGAGUAGCUAGACCCCAUCUCAAUCUCUGUGAUGCUCACAAAGGCUGUAUGCCUUUCAGAAAUGUUUCGACACUAGGGAAAGGGUUGAAAAUACUAUAUGAAUAAUUUGCCUUUUAGCUGUCCGUAAGUAAUUAUAGUUCCCUAACCGACCACUGUGUUUACAAGUACUCCAGGGGGAGGAGGCAGACAGUGUGUGAACUGUCCAUAGGGCAGGGUUGCACCUUUUUUUCUAUGGAACUUGAAUCUGAAAGGAUCUGUCACUCAGCCGGUUGAGUUUCUAAUUAUGUCUCACCUUAAUCAGGCCUCAGGGAGUGGGCAGUUUAGAAGACUGUCCAUGUUAUCAAAUGAGCAAGUCAGCCUCAUUCAGGAAGUCUAAUUGCCAAAUGUCAAAUAGAAGCUUUAUAGUUAGUCUUAUUUUGUCUUCCCGGGCUACUAGGGAAGUGGUGGACCCUUAUUUUAUGGAUGCAGAAAUGCUCAGAAAGGCUAAUGACAUGCCCAGACUGAUUUUGAUAGGAACUGACAGAAGUAGAAUUUGACCCCAAAUCUAUAUAAUGCCAAAUACUUGCCACUCUGCUGCCCCCCACCUCCACCCCCAGAUUGUGGCAAUUAGCCCUCUUUUCGAAAGGAGUUAGAGAGAAAUCCUUGAAAAGAGAGCCUAAAUUUUAUUUAGAAUUGUAAAGUUCAGAGACCAAUCUUCAGCACUAGUAUUAUUUUACUGGAUCCUGGUUUCCAGCUAAGCUCAUUGAAGAUCGAUGAACUCUACCCUGUCACCUGGAGCUUUGCUAUUCCACAAAGUCUUUGUUGGAGUAGUUCUGCAGUGGCGGGGGUGCUUACGGGGGGCAUAUCUUACCCCCAUUCCUGCUCCCUCAGCCUGAAUAAUGGCAGCCACUACCCCAGCAAGUCUGAGGUCUCCAUGGAGCCGCAGAGCCAGGAAAAUGACCAUCCACCGAGGAACUGCCCAGCCCUGCGUGUAGAAGACGCAGGGCACAAACUCGGUUUGAGAAGCCAAAUCCCGUGAAAACAGAUUGUUAUGAUCAUUAUACAACUACAGAUGUGAUAAAUUCAUUUGAGUAAUAAAAAAAAUGAAAAAAAAAAAAAAAAA